CAGUAAUCUACUUCAAGAAGAUCACUGGCAUGAUCCAUGGCAGGUGCUGGUCAUAUGUAUGCUUCUCAACAAAACUUGUGGUGCACAGGAAGAAAAGGCUUACUUGUGGGUCAGUUGAUUUUUCUAAACGUGAUUGCAAACGCGGGGGGUGAUAUCAGACCUGUUUGCGCUGUGUCCUAAUGCAAAGACUACUACAAAAGUCGAAGAGAAAGAGAGAUAUAGACUCUGAUAAAGCCUCUUCGACUACAGAAGAAGAGAUCCAAAUUAAUACAACGGUUUUCUCUCGAGUAUCUUCAAGAGAGCUGGACUCAUGUCACUCAACUGCAUGGAGUUGGAAAGUAUGCAGCGGAUGCGUAUGCCAUAUUCUGUAAUGGGAAGUGGGAUUGUGUGAGACCUGAUGAUCAUAUGCUAAACUAUUACUGGGAAUUCCUCAGGAUUCGAUUUAGGUUAUGAGUGGGAAGAAGAUACAUGUAUGUAUUGCGCUGAUAAUAUUUUUCUUUGCUCUGUUUCACAAAUGUUGAAAAGUUGUAAAUGAUAGAUAUCUUAACUUCAUGUUUGUUUAAUCUUGAUUUGUAA